rnacentral:rRNA from 1 species
AACGCGAAGAACCUUACCUGCUCUUGACAUCCACGGAAUUCGGCAGAGAUGCCUUAGUGCCUUCGGGAACCGUGAGACAGGUGCUGCAUGGCUGUCGUCAGCUCGUGUUGUGAAAUGUUGGGUUAAGUCCCGCAACGAGCGCAACCCUUAUCCUUUGUUGCCAGCGAUUCGGUCGGGAACUUUAAGGAUACUGCCAGUGACAAACUGGAGGAAGGCGGGGACGACGUCAAGUCAUCAUGGCCCUUACGACCAGGGCUACACACGUGCUACAAUGGUCGGUACAAAGGGUUGCUACCUAGCGAUAGGAUGCUAAUCUCAAAAAGCCGAUCGUAGUCCGGAUUGGAGUCUGCAACUCGACUCCAUGAAGUCGGAAUCGCUAGUAAUCGCGGAUCAGAAUGCCGCGGUGAAUACGUUCCCGGGUCUUGUACACACGC